AUUUUACCCAUAUUAGCUCUUUUUAGCAAAAUCGGCCAUGUUGGUUGGAAAGCAGAAUCAUGAAACACAUUUUUUCAUACUAAAUACCCUCAUGAUGGUUGUGACUAAGUUUGGUUAUAUUUGUCUCAAUAGUUUAAUUUUUUAAGAUAACAAAAAUGAAUGAAAAUUUGUUAAAAAAUUACCUUUAAAGUCAUUGUUUUUUUAAUUUUCAUAAAGUUUUGUCACCAUGACCAAAUGGGGUCAAUUGACCAUUUUAGUCAUGUUGACUUAUUUGUAUAUAUUAUUUUGUUGAACAUUAUUGCUGUUUACUAUUUAUCUCUAUCUAUAAUCAUUUUCAAGAUAACAACCAAAAAAUGCAAAAUUUCCUUAAAAUUACCAAUUCAGGGGCAGCAACCCAUCAGGUAGUCUGAUACGUCUGAGAAUUUCAGGGCAGAUAUAUUUUGACCUGAUAUACAAUUUUCCCCUGUGACAACAGAUUUGCUCUAAACGCUUUGGUUUUUGAGAUAUAAGCCAAACUCUACAUUUUGUACAUAUGUACUAAUUUUUAUUAAUAGCCAGGUCAUCGAACAUAUUUUGUUUUAAACUUGAUUCCCCAAUGAGGAGUGUGACGACGAACGCCAAGUGAUGAGAAAAGCUCACGUGGCCCUUUGAGUACAUAAGACAUGACGAUGAUCGAUAUUUUGCAAAACAAAAUGGUAAAACAAUUGUUUACAUCAGAAAUUACAUGCACACAAGCCGGUAAUAAAAAAAUAAUCUACAAAAAAAAAACAGUUUUUGUUUUAAUGUGAUGAAAACAUAUCUAUGCAUCCGUCUAGUUUGCUAUACACAGGCGUAUAAAAGAAACGUAUGCAUGGUACAUGUAGUAAUUUAGAUAGAUUGUAACUUAAAAAAAAAACAUGAUCUUUAUGUUUGAAAUCCA
rnacentral:lncRNA from 1 species